CAGUCGCCACGGUAAUACAGAGGGUGCGAGCGUUAAUCGGAUCUACUGGGCGUAAAGCGUGCGUAGGCGGCUUUUUAAGUCGGAUGUGAAAUCCCUGAGCUUAACUUAGGAAUUGCAUUCGAUACUGGGAAGCUAGAGUAUGGGAGAGGAUGGUAGAAUUCCAGGUGUAGCGGUGAAAUGCGUAGAGAUCUGGAGGAAUACCGAUGGCGAAGGCAGCCAUCUGGCCUAAUACUGACGCUGAGGUACGAAAGCAUGGGGAGCAAACAGGAUUAGAUACCCCCGUAGUCCCUGUCUCUUAUAC
rnacentral:rRNA from 1 species